GGGGAAUAUUGCGCAAUGGGGGGAACCCUGACGCAGCAACGCCGCGUGGAGGAAGAAGGCCUUCGGGUUGUAAACUCCUGUCUUUAGGGACGAUAAUGACGGUACCUAAGGAGGAAGCCACGGCUAACUACGUGCCAGCAGCCGCGGUAAUACGUAGGUGGCGAGCGUUGUCCGGAAUUACUGGGCGUAAAGGGUGCGUAGGCGGAUACUUAAGUCAGAUGUGAAACUCCGGGGCUUAACUUCGGGACUGCAUUUGAAACUGGGUAUCUAGAGUGCAGGAGAGGGAAGCGGAAUUCCUAGUGUAGCGGUGAAAUGCGUAGAUAUUAGGAAGAACACCAGUGGCGAAGGCGGCUUUCUGGACUGUAACUGACGCUGAGGCACGAAAGCGUGGGGAGCGAAC
rnacentral:rRNA from 1 species